CCCCUCCCAGGGCCACAUCUGGAGAGUUUGCAGUACCCUACCAGUUUUGGCUACGGGAGGGAGAGUGAAGCAGAGGCAUACCCAUUCCAUUCCUAGCUUGUCCAGUGGUAGUGAGUGGAAGGCAAUCUGUACAAGU